CAGAUUUAUUCAAGAGCAGUUGGAUUUUCUCUGGCGGUGUGUUUCAAGAAGAAAAACAGGAACAAGGAGGCAGAUGUCAGACAAUAGUCCCUACUAUAAACUUUGAACAGGCUGAUGUUGUACAUGGUGGGUAUUGAGCUACAAAAUGUCCUGGGAGCCGCAGUGCCACUGACAGAUAGAGCACCGAGAAAGUCCUUUUAAAAGGGAAUCUAGGAGGAUGGAAGAAAGGAUUGGAGGAAAAAGGCAUUACUCUUGAGGAAGCAACACAGGAGCAGAUCUACAAAACUAUUAAUCUCUUCCUUUCCCUCUGCUCCCCUUAGCCGCCUCUUUCUAUCUCUACCCUCUUUCUCCUCCUGCUUCUCUUCUUUUCCUAUCUCCUCUUUUUCUCCAGAGCCCUCCUCUGCAUUUAUUUCAUUAAUCCAACUCUCCUAUCCCUUUCCCUCUCUCACAGCUACUCCAUCUAUUGCUUUCACUUUACAUCUCCUAACUCUACUCCUUCUCUCCU